rnacentral:lncRNA from 1 species
CACCCAGGAGCGGGUGGUCUUCCUCGACACCCAGCCCAUCCUCAGCCCCUCCGUCCUCGACCACCUCAUCAACAACGACCGCAAGCUGCCGCCCGAGUACAGCCUGCCCCACACCUACGUCGAGAUGCAGGUGGGGCAGCAGGGCCGCGGUGGUGGCGUGGUAAUUGCGUGGGAAUAGGGUGGUAACAGCACGGUAAUUGCGUGGUAAUUACAUUGUAAUAGCCGGGUAACAACAGGCUAGCAGCAGUGUAAUUACAUUGUAAUAGAGUGGUAAUAACAGUGUAAUUGCAUGUUAAUUACAUUGUAAUAGCCUAAUAGCAACACGGUAACUGCAUGGUAAUUACAUGGUAAUAGAGUAGUAAUAACAUGGUAAUCAUAUAGUAAUGCCAAUAUGGUAAUUACAUGGUAAUAGUAGCUACAUGAUAAUUACAUGUAAUAGAGCGGUAAUAACAGAGUAAGUACAUGGUAAAUACACAGAGUGGCCAUACAAGUAAUUACAUUGUAACUACACAGUAAUAGAGUGUAAUAACAGUAGCUACAUGGUAAUUACAUGGUAUUAGCAGGAAAAUAAUAGUAAUUAGAUAGCAAUUACAUGGUAAUUACAUUGUAAUAGAAUGGUAAUAGCAGUUAUUACAUUGUAAUAACAUGGUAAUAGAGUAGCAAUAGCAGUAAUUACAUAGUAAUUACAUUGCAAUAGAGUGUAAUGACAGUAACUACAUGCUGAUUAUAGUGUAAUUGCAUUGUAAUAGAGCAUAAUAGCAGUAACUACAUGCUAAUUACAUUGUAGUUACAUUGUAAUAACAUGGUAAUGAGUGCUCAUAACAGUACUUAUGUGGUAAUAGAGGAGCAAUAACACAGCAAUUACGUGGCAACAGUGAGGUGACGACCUGGUAAUUACAUGGCAAGAGCAGUGUAAUAACGUGGUAAUUAUAUCGUAAUUAAGAGUAGCGUGGCACAGUUUAGGUGGCCUGGGUAAGACUAACGAAGCAGUUGUAAUGGCAUGGUGACAACGUGCUAAUAACGUUGUAAUGGCACGUUAGUAAUGUGGUAAUUGCAUGUUACUAGCAGGCUAAUAACAGUGUAAUAGCAUAUUAACGACAGGGUAAUAAGUGUUAAUUACAUUGUAAUAGCAUCAUAAUAGCAGGGCAAUAGCAGUGUAAUAAGUGUUAAUAACAUGUUAAUAACG